rnacentral:tRNA from 1 species
GGAGGGGUGGCAGAGUGGUCGAUCGCGGCAGUCUUGAAAACUGCAGAGCCGCAAGGUUCCGUGGGUUCGAAUCCCACCCCCUCCGCCA